rnacentral:pre_miRNA from 1 species
AUAUUACUCCCUCCGUCUUGGAAAUACUUGUCGGAGGAAUGAAUGUAUCUAAAUGCAUUUUAGUUCUAGAUACAUCCAUUUUUAUUCAUUUUUGCGACAAGUGAUUACGGACGGAGGAGUAGAAA